CCCAAGGCUCUUUUUAGGGCCAACAAAUCAAAAUCAAAAUAUAUUU
rfam:Operophtera brumata OBRT01_Sc00091, whole genome shotgun sequence.